CCUAAUUGUAGCACCCUAGCCUGGACUUCUCAAGGGUGAACAUACUGAUGGAUGGAAACCAACCUAAUGAUUGAUGGUGUUAUCAUCAGGAGGCAGUGGACUAGCGGUGGCGUGAUUCAAAACUAUUGCUGAUUCUGCAUUUGAGGAUUUCAUGAAGCCAAGCGAUCCUCUUGUGCUCUGAGGAGCUCUGAUGUAUACAGGCAUCUGGGAGGGAGGGGUCAAGAUUUUCUCACCCCUUUCUGUCCAAUGUGCUCGGCCAUCUGGCCGCUGGCGAUGGCCCCGACCAUGGCGCUAACUUGGACAGCGAGCCGAACACCAAGAACUGACGUGCAGGCACGAAGUUACUCAACAUCUUUAGUCCAAGAAGAAGUUGAAACAGAGCAAGCAUAGAGGC